CACGUCAGCGCGCUUUGCUGACGUGCACAGAAAUCGCGCUGACUUGGACGUGAUUUGCUGACACGUCCCCAAAGCGCGCUGACGUGG
rfam:Gossypium raimondii chromosome 7, whole genome shotgun sequence.